GAUGAACGCUGGCGGCGUGCCUAAUACAUGCAAGUCGAGCGAACAGACGAGGAGCUUGCUCCUCUGACGUUAGCGGCGGACGGGUGAGUAACACGUGGAUAACCUACCUAUAAGACUGGGAUAACUUCGGGAAACCGGAGCUAAUACCGGAUAAUAUAUUUAACCGCAUGGUUCAAUAGUGAAAGACGGUUUUGCUGUCACUUAUAGAUGGAUUCGCGCCGCAUUAGCUAUUUGGUAAGUUAACGCCUUACCAAGGCGACGAUGCGUAGCCGACCUGAGAGGGUGAUCGGCCACACUGGAACUGAGACACGGUCCAGACUCCUACGGGAGGCAGCAGUAGGGAAUCUUCCGCAAUGGGCGAAAGCCUGACGGAGCAACGCCGCGUGAGUGAUGAAGGUCUUCGGAUCGUAAAACUCUGUUAUUAGGGAAGAACAAAUGUGUAAGUGACUAUGCACGUCUUGACGGUACCUAAUCAGAAAGCCACGGCUAACUACGUG
rnacentral:rRNA from 1 species